rnacentral:rRNA from 1 species
UACGGGGGGAGCAAGCGUUGUUCGGAUUUACUGGGCGUAAAGGGCGCGUAGGCGGCCACCGCAAGUCGGUUGUGAAAUCUCUGGGCUUAACCCAGAAAGGUCAACCGAUACUGCGGGGCUAGAGUGCAGAAGGGGCAGCUGGAAUUCUCGGUGUAGCGGUGAAAUGCGUAGAUAUCGAGAGGAACACCUGCGGCGAAGGCGGGUUGCUGGGCUGACACUGACGCUGAAGCGCGAAAGCUAGGGGAGCGAACGGG